rnacentral:rRNA from 1 species
CAGCAGCCGCGGUAAUACGAAGGGGGCUAGCGUUGUUCGGAAUUACUGGGCGUAAAGCGCACGUAGGCGGACAUUUAAGUCAGGGGUGAAAUCCCGGGGCUCAACCUCGGAACUGCCUUUGAUACUGGGUGUCUCGAGUCCGGAAGAGGUAAGUGGAACUGCGAGUGUAGAGGUGAAAUUCGUAGAUAUUCGCAAGAACACCAGUGGCGAAGGCGGCUUACUGGUCCGGUACUGACGCUGAGGUGCGAAAGCGUGGGGAGCAAACAGGAUUAGAUACCCCAGUAGUCCCUGUCUCUUAUAC